rnacentral:rRNA from 1 species
GAUAAACGCUGGCGGCGUGCAUAACACAUUCAAGUCGAACGGGAAUCUUGUGAAUGAGACUUCGGUUGAUUGAGCAAGAGGAUAGUGGCGGACGGGUGAGUAACGCGUGAGCAACCUGCCUCUGUGAGGGGAACAACGCAUGGAAACGUGCGCUAAUACCGCAUAAAGCAUAUUGAUUGCAUGGUUGAUAUGUUAAAGGAGCAAUCCGCAUAGAGAUGGGCUCGCGUCUGAUUAGAUAGUUGGUGAGGUAACGGCUCACCAAGUCGACGAUCAGUAGCCGGACUGAGAGGUUGAACGGCCACAUUGGAACUGAGAAACGGUCCAGACUCCUACGGGAGGCAGCAGUGGGGAAUAUUGGGCAAUGGGGGAAACCCUGACCCAGCAACGCCGCGUGGAGGAAGAAGGUUUUCGGAUUGUAAACUAUUGUCGUUAGGGAAGAUACAAGACAGUACCUAAGGAGGAAGCCCCGGGCUAACUAUGUGCCAGCAGCCG